rnacentral:rRNA from 1 species
UACAGAGGUCUCAAGCGUUGUUCGGAUUCAUUGGGCGUAAAGGGCGCGUAGGCUGCGGGGUAAGUCGGGUGUGAAAUCUCAGAGCUCAACUCUGAAACUGCACUCGAUACUGCUUUGCUUGAGGACUGGAGAGGAGAUUGGAAUUCACGGUGUAGCAGUGAAAUGCGUAGAGAUGCGGAGGAACACCGAUGGCGAAGGCAGCCCCCUGGGCCAACACUGACGCUCAGGCACGAAAGCGUGGGGAGCAAACAGG